GAAACACGGACCAAGGAGUCUAACAGGUACGCGAGUCGAAGGGCUGACUAAACCCUUUGGCGGAAUUAAAGUAAGAAAGAGCGUGUUUUGUCUUUACAGAUGAGAUGCGUGGCUGAUUCUGGUUGGAGAAAUUUAUUUUUCUUUUUUUUCAGACGCAAGCUGAGGGCCUGUCGACGUCAGUUGAUGCUGUGGGGUAGCAGUUUUUGUUAAUUGUUAUUUCCCGGUUGAUUGGCCGGCAGGCACCUAUAGCGUAAAUGUUAGUACCCGAAAGAUGGUGAUCUAUGCUUGGCUAGAACGAAGCUGGGGGAAACUCUGGUGGAAGUUCGUAGCGGUUCUGACGUGCAAAUCGAUCGUC
rnacentral:rRNA from 1 species